rnacentral:misc_RNA from 1 species
GAACGCACCUUGCACUCUUUGGUAUUCCGAAGAGUAUGCUUGUUUGAGUAUCAUUAAAUUCUCAAACCACUACUUGGUUUUAUAUCAAGUCAGUGGCUUUGGAUGUGGAGGUUGCAGGCUUCUUGUAAAGUCUGCUCUUCUUAAAAGCAUUAGUGGUUAUUGAUUCCACUUCUUGGUGUGAUAAUAUCUACGCCUUGUAAGAACGGAUCUAAUGUAACUGCUCUCAAACCGUCUUUAUUGACAAUUUGAACCAUUUGAUCUCAAAUCAAGUAGGACUACCCGCUGAACUUAAG